GAUGAACGCUGGCGGCGUGCCUAAUACAUGCAAGUCGAGCGAACGGACGAGAAGCUUGCUUCUCUGAUGUUAGCGGCGGACGGGUGAGUAGCACGUGGAUAACCUACCUAUAAGACUGGGAUAACUUCGGGAAACCGGAGCUAAUACCGGAUAAUAUUUUGAACCGCAUGGUUCAAAAGUGAAAGACGGUCUUGCUGUCACUUAUAGAUGGAUCCGCGCUGCAUUAGCUAGUUGGUAAGGUAACGGCUUACCAAGGCAACGAUGCAUAGCCGACCUGAGAGGGUGAUCGGCCACACUGGACUGAGACACGGUCCAGACUCCUACGGGAGGCAGCAGUAGGGAAUCUUCCGCAAUGGGCGAAAGCCUGACGGAGCAACGCCGCGUGAGUGAUGAAGGUCUUCGGAUCGUAAAACUCUGUUAUUAGGGAAGAACAUAUGUGUAAGUAACUGUGCACAUCUUGACGGUACCUAAUCAGAAAGCCACGGCUAACUACGUG
rnacentral:rRNA from 1 species